rnacentral:rRNA from 1 species
UCGACAGCCCAGGCAGCACUACUCCUACCCGGAGGCAGCAGUGGGGAAUAUUGCACAAUGGGCGGAAGCCUGAUGCAGCGACGCCGCGUGAGGGAUGACGGCCUUCGGGUUGUAAACCUCUUUCAGUAGGGAAGAAGCGAAAGUGACGGUACCUGCAGAAGAAGCGCCGGCUAACUACGUGCCAGCAGCCGCGGUAAUACGUAGGGCGCAAGCGUUAUCCGGAAUUAUUGGGCGUAAAGAGCUCGUAGGCGGUUUGUCGCGUCUGCCGUGAAAGUCCGGGGCUCAACUCCGGAUCUGCGGUGGGUACGGGCAGACUAGAGUGAUGUAGGGGAGACUGGAAUUCCUGGUGUAGCGGUGAAAUGCGCAGAUAUCAGGAGGAACACCGAUGGCGAAGGCAGGUCUCUGGGCAUUAACUGACGCUGAGGAGCGAAAGCAUGGGGAGCGAACAGGAUUAGAUACCCUGGUAGUCCAUGCCGUAAACGUUGGGCACUAGGUGUGGGGGACAUUCCACGUUUUCCGCGCCGUAGCUAACGCAUUAAGUGCCCCGCCUGGGGAGUACGGCCGCAAGGCUAAAACUCAAAGGAAUUGACGGGGGCCCGCACAAGCGGCGGAGCAUGCGGAUUAAUUCGAUGCAACGCGAAGAACCUUACCAAGGCUUGACAUGAACCGGUAAGACGCUGAAAACA